rnacentral:misc_RNA from 1 species
AACGAUACUUUCGUACUAGAGUGCCCACACGAGUAAUCAAAUAUUCAAAAGAAGUUUUUUAUAAGAUUUGGUAUGUAAUUUUCUAGUGUUUAUAUCAGUUUGAUAUAUACACCAGUGGCAUAUCUGUUAGAUAUGUACACGUAGAUCACUGCAUUUAAUAGAAGAAAAUUUUAUUAAGUUAUUCUCGAAGCAAAUAACAAAAAAACUUAGUUCGCUUAGAAAAGGAGAACUAAGUAUAUAACCCUU